AUGAUCAAGUGCAUAGUUUUAUUUUUGUCUUAUGCAACAUUUGGAGUAAAAAGAAGGUUAUGUGGUAACAAGUUUAAAUCUUGAACUAUGAGCAAAGAUUGACCAGGCCAAGCCCUGAGACACACACUGUGUUGAGAGCCAAGACGAAAAGGGGUGAAGAUCCAGGCUCAGAGCCCAGCAUGCCAUGGGCUGGAGUGAUCAGAAACACCAUGAAGACUCUGCUCCUGGGUCAGGAAUGAUUUUUUUGUCCCUUUUGUUGAUUUUCCACCAUGAGAAGGAAGAACAGUCUCUCCAUGAUCAGGGAAACAUCAACAGCGGCUUCCCCAACUGGUGCUUUUCUCCUUCAUCCUCACCACAGAGUCACAGAGGCCAAGUCCUUUUCCUGUUAAACGUAAAAAAGCAAAUGUCAAACUUGCUGCUAUGGUGUACUAACUUUUGUCACAGCGACAUGCCUUGUCACAGGGCAUAUGUAUUUUGUUAUACAAUUGAAAUAUUAGAUAUACUAUUGUUUUUGUACUAUUGAAAUCUCGAAUAAACUGAAUUCUAAAAUAAGUAUGACCUCAA